UACGGGGGGGGCAAGCGUUGUUCGGAAUUACUGAGCGUAAAGGGCGCGUAGGCGGCUUGGUAAGUCGGGGGUGAAAGUCAGCGGCUCAACCGCUGGACUGCCUUCGAGACUGCCUGGCUUGAGCAUGGUAGAGGCUGGCGGAAUUCCCGGUGUAGCGGUGAAAUGCGUAGAGAUCGGGAAGAACAUCGGUGGCGAAGGCGGCCAGCUGGGCCAUUGCUGACGCUGAUGCGCGACAGCGUGGGGAGCAAACAGG
rnacentral:rRNA from 1 species